rnacentral:rRNA from 1 species
AGAGUUUGGAUCCUGGCUCAGAAUCAACGCUGGCGGCGUGCCUAACACAUGCAAGUCGAACGAGAAAGGGAUCCUUCGGGAACCUGAGUAAAGUGGCGAACGGGUGAGUAACACGUGGGUGACCUGCCCUCUGGAGGGGGAUAACCCGAGGAAACUCGGGCUAAGACCGCAUAAGCCUUCGAGGUCAAAUUCGAAGGGAAAAGGAUUUAGCUUUCGAGCUAGAUCUUACCGGAGGAGGGGCCCGCGUCCCAUUAGCUAGUUGGUGGGGUAAAAGCCUACCAAGGCUACGAUGGGUAGCCGGUCUGAGAGGACGGACGGCCACACUGGAACUGAGACACGGUCCAGACUCCUACGGGAGGCAGCAGUGGGGAAUUUUGGACAAUGGGCGAAAGCCUGAUCCAGCAACGCCGCGUGGAGGAUGAAGGCCCUCGGGUCGUAAACUCCUGUCCUAGGGGAAGAAAAAAAUGACGGUACCCUUGGAGGAAGCCCCGGCUAACUCCGUGCCAGCAGCCGCGGUAAGACGGGGGGGGCGAGCGUUGUUCGGAAUUACUGGGCGUAAAGGGCGCGCAGGCGGCUUGGGAAGUCUUGGGUGAAAGCCCCCAGCUCAACUGGGGAAUGGCCUGAGAAACCACUAGGCUGGAGUGCUGGAGAGGGAAGCGGAAUUCCCGGUGGAGCGGUGAAAUGCGUAGAUAUCGGGAG